rnacentral:rRNA from 1 species
AUUGAACGCUGGCGGCAGGCCUAACACAUGCAAGUCGAGCGGAUGAAGGGAGCUUGCUCCUGGAUUCAGCGGCGGACGGGUGAGUAAUGCCUAGGAAUCUGCCUGGUAGUGGGGGAUAACGUCCGGAAACGGGCGCUAAUACCGCAUACGUCCUGAGGGAGAAAGUGGGGGAUCUUCGGACCUCACGCUAUCAUAUGAGCCUAGGUCGGAUUAGCUAGUUGGUGGGGUAAAGGCCUACCAAGGCGACGAUCCGUAACUGGUCUGAGAGGAUGAUCAGUCACACUGGAAGUGAGACACGGUCCAGACGCCUACGGGAGGCAGCAGUGGGGAAUAUUGGACAAAGGGAGAAAGCCUGAUCCAGCCAUGCCGCGUGUGUGAAGAAGGUCUUCGGAUUGUAAAGCAAUUUAAGUUGGGAGGAAGGGCAGUAAGUUAAUACCUUGCUGUUUUGACGUUACAAACAGAAUAAGCACCGGCUAACUUCGUG